UUUUAUAGUUUGGAACCAUGCUUUUACUUGAACAAUCUGAGCAAAUAACCUUGCAAAAAUCAAAUUAUAAAUUUAUAGCAAAAUGCAUGUGAUCAAUGAUGGAUGCAUCUCAUUUCAUGGUAAACAAUCCGCAUGGUAUACAAGAGCCGAGAAGAAAAGAAGCAAGCUUGAGCUAAAAAGGAUCAAAAAGGAAAUUAAAGUGCAAGAGCUGGAUAAGCUAAAGCUGGAUCAGGAUCUGGCCCUCCGGCAUCGCGAUCACGGGCUUCAUCCUGCGAUCGCGCCCAGUCAAGCUAGUCAAACAACUGCGAUCGUGAUGGACUAACCGUGAUUUCCAAAAGGGCGAUCAUGAUCAAUCUUUAUCGAUCACGUGAGAGUAGAAAAUGGCCUAAGGGCAGAAAUGUCAUUUUUACUAGCCGACCCAAAAUCCUAUUUAAGGCACAAAACCCAUUCAUUCUAGAGAAAUUAUACCACAACCCUACUUUCCAUCCUAAGUAUAGGGUUUUUGUAAUUUCUUGGAGCUUGGAAUGUAAAUUUACACUAAUUUGAGACAAGAUUAAAUUAGAGGAGCUUUAAAGUGUAAAUUUGAUUUUGUCUAUUAAAGAUUCACUUGAGUCUAAAGUGUGGUUUGUCCUCUAUUUAUUUUUUUAUGAAUAACUUUGGUGGA